rnacentral:rRNA from 1 species
UACGGGGGGGGCAAGCGUUGUUCGGAAUUACUGGGCGUAAAGGGUUCGUAGGUGGCCAACUAAGUCAGACGUGAAAUCCCUCAGCUUAACUGGGGAACUGCGUCUGAGACUGGAUGGCUAGAGGACCGGAGAGGAUAGUGGAAUUCCCAGUGUAGUGGUGAAAUACGUAGAGAUUGGGAAGAACACCAGUGGCGAAGGCGGCUAUCUGGACGGUUUCUGACACUAAGACUCGAAAGCGUGGGGAGCAAACAGG